rnacentral:rRNA from 1 species
CGCGGACGGGUGAGUAACGCGUGGGAAUCUGCCCUCAGGAGGGGGAUAACGGCUGGAAACGGCCGCUAAUACCCCAUAUGCCGAGAGGUGAAAUGAAUUUCGCCUGAGGAUGAGCCCGCGUCUGAUUAGCUAGUUGGUGGGGUAAAGGCCUACCAAGGCGACGAUCAGUAGCUGGUCUGAGAGGAUGAUCAGCCACACUGGGACUGAGACACGGCCCAGACUCCUACGGGAGGCAGCAGUGGGGAAUUUUCCGCAAUGGGCGAAAGCCUGACGGAGCAACGCCGCGUGAGGGAUGAAGGCCUCUGGGCUGUAAACCUCUUUUCUCAAGGAAGAAGAACUGACGGUACUUGAGGAAUAAGCCACGGCUAAUUCCGUGCCAGCAGCCGCGGUAAUACGGGAGUGGCAAGCGUUAUCCGGAAUUAUUGGGCGUAAAGCGUCCGCAGGCGGCCUUGUAAGUCUGUUGUUAAAGCGUGGAGCUCAACUCCAUUUAAGCAAUGGAAACUACAAGGCUGGAGUGUGGUAGGGGCAGAGGGAAUUCCCGGUGUAGCGGUGAAAUGCGUAGAUAUCGGGAAGAACACCAGUGGCGAAGGCGCUCUGCUGGGCCAUAACUGACGCUCAUGGACGAAAGCCAGGGGAGCGAAAGGGAUUAGAUACCCCUGUAGUCCUGGCCGUAAACGAUGAACACUAGGUGUCGGGGGAAUCGACCCCCUCGGUGUCGUAGCCAACGCGUUAAGUGUUCCGCCUGGGGAGUACGCACGCAAGUGUGAAACUCAAAGGAAUUGACGGGGGCCCGCACAAGCGGUGGAGUAUGUGGUUUAAUUCGAUGCAACGCGAAGAACCUUACCAGGGUUUGACAUCCUGCGAAUCCCUUGGAAACGAGGGAGUGCCUUCGGGAGCGCAGUGACAGGUGGUGCAUGGCUGUCGUCAGCUCGUGUCGUGAGAUGUUGGGUUAAGUCCCGCAACGAGCGCAACCCACGUCUUUAGUUGCCAGCAUUCAGUUGGGCACUCUAGAGAGACCGCCGGUGAUAAACCGGAGGAAGGUGUGGAUGACGUCAAGUCAUCAUGCCCCUUACAUCCUGGGCUACACACGUACUACAAUGCUACGGACAAAGGGCAGCAAGCUCGCGAGAGUUAGCAAAUCCCAUAAACCGUGGCUCAGUUCAGAUCGUAGGCUGCAACUCGCCUACGUGAAGGAGGAAUCGCUAGUAAUCGCAGGUCAGCAUACUGCGGUGAAUACGUUCCCGGGCCUUGUGCACACCGCCCGUCACACCAUGGAAGUUGGCCAUGCCCGAAGUCGUUACUCCAACCCUUGUGGAGGAGGACGCCGAAGGUGGGGCUGAUGACUGGGGUGAAGUCGUAACAAGGUA